CCAACAUCACGUCUCUAAGGCUCUCUUCUCGUCGAACCUCGACAAACACCUCGCCAAUUGGAGGCAGUGCACUUUUGCCAAUGAUCCGUCCUCGAACUCCAUCAAAUUCAACAUUGAGUCCAACAAGGAAUUUGUAAAUACGAUGAGCCUCAACAGUCUUUUUGUUGUGACUAGCAUCUUCAGUAGAUUUCCACUCAUAAUCAUUGAACAAAUCCAAGUCUUGCCAUAGACGCUUCAAGGAAUUGGAAUACUUGGUGACAGAGUCUUCUCCUUGCCGAAUCUCACCAAGUUUUAUAGUCAAUUCAUAGACUUGAGAUUAAUUUCCCAAAUCAGAGUACAUCUAAUUCACGUUAUCCCAAAGCUCU
rnacentral:lncRNA from 1 species